rnacentral:rRNA from 1 species
GACGGGACCCGCACAAGCAGCGGAGCGUGUGGUUUAAUUCGUUGCUACACGAAGAACCUUACCUGGGUUUGACAUAUAGGUUGUAGGGAACUGAAAAGGGACCGACCCUUCGGGGAGCCUAUACAGGUGUUGCAUGGCUGUCGUCAGCUCGUGUCGUGAGAUGUUCGGUUAAGUCCGCUAACGAGCGCAACCCUCGUCGUAUGUUAUAUGUGUCAUACGAGACUGCCGGUAAAAGCCGGAGGAAGGUGAGGAUGAUGUCAAGUCAGCAUGACCUUUAUAUCCAGGGCUACACACACGCUACAAUGGUCUGUACAAUGGGUAGCCAAGCCGCGAGGCGGAGCCAAUCCUGAAAGCAGGCCUCAGUUCAGAUUGCAGUCUGCAACUCGACUGCAUGAAGCCGGAGUUGCUAGUAACCGCAGGUCAGCAAUACUGCGGUGAAUACGUUCCCGGGGCUU